CAGGACGAACGCUGGCGGCGUGCCUAACACAUGCAAGUCGAACGAAGCAUAGUAAUAUGCUUAGUGGCGGACGGGUGAGUAACGCGUGAACAAUCUGCCCUAUACAAAGGAAUAGCCUCGGGAAACUGGGAUUAAAACCAUAUAACACUUUAGUACCGCAUGGUACAGAAGUCAAAUUGAUUAAGAGGUAUAGGAUGAGUUCGCGUCUGAUUAGCUAGUUGGUAAGGUAAUGGCUUACCAAGGCGACGAUCAGUAGCCGGCCUGAGAGGGUGAACGGCCACACUGGAACUGAGACACGGUCCAGACUCCUACGGGAGGCAGCAGUGGGGAAUAUUGCACAAUGGAGGAAACUCUGAUGCAGCGACGCCGCGUGAGUGAAGAAGGUCUUCGGAUCGUAAAACUCUGUCCUUGGUGAAGAUAAUGACGGUAGCCAAGGAGGAAGCCCCGGCUAACUACGUGCCAGCCGCCGC
rnacentral:rRNA from 1 species